GCCAGCAUAGUGUAGUGGUUUGAGCACUGGAUUACAACUCUGGAGAACAGGGUUCAAAUCCCUACUCAGCCA